CCUACGGGUGGCAGCAGUGAGGAAUAUUGGUCAAUGGGCGAGAGCCUGAACCAGCCAAGUCGCGUGAGGGAGUACUGCCCUAUGGGUUGUAAACCUCUUUUGUCGGGGAGCAAAAGCCGGACGUGUCCGGCUGUGAGAGUACCUGAAGAAAAAGCAUCGGCUAACUCCGUGCCAGCAGCCGCGGUAAUACGGAGGAUGCGAGCGUUAUCCGGAUUUAUUGGGUUUAAAGGGUGCGCAGGCGGAGGCACAAGUCAGCGGUAAAAUCGCGGGGCUCAACCCCGCUCCGCCGUUGAAACUGUGUCCGUUGAGUGCGCGAAGGGUAGGCGGAAUGCGUGGUGUAGCGGUGAAAUGCAUAGAUAUCACGCAGAACUCCGAUCGCGAAGGCAGCCUACCGGCGCGCAACUGACGCUCAUGCACGAAAGCGUGGGUAUCGAACAGGAUUAGAUACCCCUGUAGUC
rnacentral:rRNA from 1 species